CUCAGUUCAAACACAUAUUUAUAUAUGUGUGUGAACUGAGAAAAAUUGCAGUUUGUCAGGUAAACAACUUCUUUAGAAAAUAAGUGCAGCUAAUACUUCGUCUGACUUAAUUAAGUCUGAGCAUGAGCUACAUUACCAGUGAUAUAUGCUUAGUCUCGACCAGAGAAAACGGAACACACCUUCAUUGCUCAGUUAAUUAACCUACAGCACCUCAUCUCUCCCAUGUCUUCAGCAUCAGUACCUACCACCAAAAGAAAAAAUAAAAAGCCAAAAAUCAAGAUGGGCGAUGAGGUUGGAGACGCAGGCCGGAAGCCCCGUAUCCUGAGUGGGAGGUUUCCACACCUCUCCCACCUAUACCUGACACUAAAUACGCUGCUCACGUUUUGAAGAUAAUUGCAAAAUACGGCGAUGCUGUAGGAAUGGUAAACGCAGAGACUCAAGAACAGCGGACGUUCUCUGAAUUGUGUGAUCUUGUGCCACGGGUGUCUGCAGGUCUCAACGCCGCUGGGGCCACACUGCGUCAUGCCGUCCUCUACCUGGCCCCCAAACCAUGUAGACUUCCCA